UACGUAGGGUGCAAGCGUUGUCCGGAAUUAUUGGGCGUAAAGAGCUCGUAGGCGGUCUGUCGCGUCGAAUGUGAAAACCCGGGACUCAACUCCGGGCCUGCAUUCGAUACGGGCAGACUAGAGUUCGGUAGGGGAGACUGGAAUUCCUGGUGUAGCGGUGAAAUGCGUAGAGAUCCGGAGGAACACCAGUGGCAAAGGCGGCUGGCUGGACCUGACCUGACGCUGAGGCGCGAAGGCGUGGGGAGCGAACGGG
rnacentral:rRNA from 1 species